UACGUAGGGGGCAAGCGUUAUCCGGAUUUACUGGGUGUAAAGGGAGCGUAGACGGCAGCACAAGUCUGGAGUGAAAUCCCAUGGCUUAACCAUGGAACUGCUUUGGAAACUGUGCAGCUGGAGUGCAGGAGAGGUAAGCGGAAUUCCUAGUGUAGCGGUGAAAUGCUUAGAUAUUACUCAGAACACCGAUUGCGCAGGCAGCUUGCUAAUCCGCAUCUGACGCUGAUGCACGAAAGCGUGGGUAGCGAACAGG
rnacentral:rRNA from 1 species